rnacentral:rRNA from 1 species
GUGGGGAAUCUUGCGCAAUGGGCGAAAGCCUGACGCAGCCAUGCCGCGUGAAUGAUGAAGGUCUUAGGAUUGUAAAAUUCUUUCACCGGGGACGAUAAUGACGGUACCCGGAGAAGAAGCCCCGGCUAACUUCGUGCCAGCAGCCGCGGUAAUACGAAGGGGGCUAGCGUUGCUCGGAAUUACUGGGCGUAAAGGGCGCGUAGGCGGAUCGUUAAGUCAGGGGUGAAAUCCCAGAGCUCAACUCUGGAACUGCCCUUGAUACUGGCGAUCUUGAGUGUGAGAGAGGUAUGUGGAACUCCGAGUGUAGAGGUGAAAUUCGUAGAUAUUCGGAAGAACACCAGUGGCGAAGGCGACAUACUGGCUCAUUACUGACGCUGAGGCGCGAAAGCGUGGGGAGCAAACAGGAUUAGAAACCCGAGUAGUCC